AUGUAAAGCAAAUUUGUAAAACAGAUCAGGCUAGUGUUGCACUUCUGCAUGUGGAGAGCACAUUGAGAAUGGGUCAAGUGCCAAAUCGUCACCUUUGCCUUCUUUCUAUUCUCAUCACAGAGCUCCCAUGAAGGAAACUCUCCUGGAAUCCUCAUGGGAAACUAACUUUGCCUUUGUACGCUAUUCAUGCUUUUCUCCUGAGCAAGAGCAUGGUGAUAACUUCUGCUGGCCAAUGGAGGCAUUUUGCUUCUGUGGAACGGGUAUGUUACAGGUUGGCUAUCUGAACUUCAUUUCCUGGGUAACGAAAUGUGGACCUGUUUGUGUUGGCAGAGACUCUGCGUAAGGUGAACAUCUGACUGUUUUCCAGAAGGACUUCAAAGACUUCAGAUGGAAUUUCAACUGGGUUUGGCUGGCAACCAAUUCCUGCCCAAAAUGAUCUACUCCUGGAAAAAAUCUGCACAAAUAAUAGAUGCAUAAGCUACAGCCAACUGAUGAACAAGCAAGCAUUGAGAAGCAGCCUUCUCCUGAAGAAACAUGGAAUGGUUUGGGUUGGAAGGAACCUCCGAAGCGACCUGGUCCGGCCCCCUGCUCAUGCACUGUCAUCCAGAAUAGGUUGCCCAGGACCACGUUCAGUAGAAAAAAAAACAUUUUUAUCUAGGGAACUCUGUCUCAGCAUUUCAGCUCUUCUAGUUCAUCUAGUAAAACUUCUCAGAUGGGAAAAGUGUGACUGAUAUCAGACUGCCUGGUGCAAAUCAAGUUCAUUGGCAGCUCAAAGGGUGCAAGGAGGGACUGAUUCUGCCAUCCCAUGGAGCUGUGUGUUCAUCUAAAUGUAAAUGCUCUUCAGUGGCAAUGUGCUCCACAGGAGACAUUCAGCCCAUGCUGUUUCACAUAUUGUCUGCAGAGUCAUUGCUGUGGCAAGUCAGACUGGAUAAGAGAUUUAGCUUCCUCGUGGUGUUCAGUGUGUCAUAUAGCAGAUGGAGGCUUCUCAGAAAUUUCUCUGGCAGUGUUUCAGCACAGGAAAUAUCUGCAUGAAAGGCAAUGGAUACAUUAAGAAGUUAAAAGCUGUCCUAAGCAGCCUGCUCUAGCAGAUCUCAUUGCUAAUUGAGGUAAAAGGCAGAAAAGGGUGCAGCAUGCUGAAAACAUAAUGUUGCCACUCUUGACUUGACAAGUCAGCCUAACCCUGAAGUUCCCCCUAACUUGUGGAUGGAUUCCAGCCGAAGGAUGGGGAUGGAGAUGGCUGUUUCUCUCGUAAGACUCCUUCCGAAAGGAAGUGCACAAAAAGUUCUGCUGUUAUUUUAAUACAGUGGAGCACAGCAGGAUAAAGCAAGGUUUGCUCGCUGUUUGAAAGCCUCUUUCCCAAAGGCAUUUUGCCUGAAAGUAAUAAACUUUGUCUUUCCCUCUCUUCUUAACUUCCUCCCUUCUCAGUCCUUCCCAUUAUUUUCAGACUUCUCUUUACAUAUAUUUGGCCACCUUUGUUGGUUUCCUGCUCUCUUCCCUCAGUCAAUGGACAUAGGAAUCACUUCAUUUUAUUACUCAGUUUGAAAUCAUAUGACCUAAUUUUGGUCUAUGACCACUUCCUUCUGAGCCAGAGACCAGCCAUUUCCCAGAUUUAUCUGGAAAGCUAUUCCGCCAAACUGUUCAAGGUAGGGCUCAUCUGGCCCUCACCAUAAUGAUCUUACCACCUCCUCCUAGAAGGAGCCACUGGGUACGUGUUGCACAGUGUUUAACCUGUGAGGCAAUUCACUUAUUUCAUCUUCUUCUUUGGCACUUCUGGAAGGAAGUUGCUCCUGUGUGCUCAGUGGAUGCCCAUACAGCCCUGUAGUGAUACCUGUGCUCUUCUGUACUAAUUAAAAAUAGACAACCAU
ensembl:lncRNA